rnacentral:rRNA from 1 species
UACGAAGGGGGCUAGCGUUGUUCGGAUUCAUUGGGCGUAAAGGGUGCGUAGGCGGUCGCGCAAGUCGGAUGUGAAAUCUUGGGGCUCAACCCCGAAACUGCAUUCGAUACUGCGUGGCUCGAGUACUGGAGAGGAGACUGGAAUUUACGGUGUAGCAGUGAAAUGCGUAGAUAUCGUAAGGAACACCAGUGGCGAAGGCGGCUCACUGGCCCGGUACUGACGCUGAGGCGCGAAAGCGUGGGGAGCAAACGGG